AUACGGAGGGUGCAAGCGUUACUCGGAAUUACUGGGCGUAAAGCGCGCGUAGGCGGUUUGCUCAGUCGGAUGUGAAAGCCCAGGGCUCAACCUUGGAACUGCAUACGAUACUGGCAAACUAGAGUGUGAGAGAGGAUAGUGGAAUUUCCGGUGUAGCGGUGAAAUGCGUAGAUAUCGGAAGGAACAUCAGUGGCGAAGGCGACUGUCUGGCUCAACACUGACGCUGAGGUGCGAAAGCGUGGGUAGCAAACAGGAUUAGAUACCCUAGUAGUCC
rnacentral:rRNA from 1 species